GCCCCUGUGUCUCACCAGUAAAGAAUCUGCCUGCCAUGCAGGAGAUACGGGUUCGAUUCCUGUGUGGGGAA
rnacentral:tRNA from 1 species